rnacentral:rRNA from 1 species
GAUGAACGCUGGCGGCGUGCCUAAUACAUGCAAGUCGAGCGAACAGACGAGGAGCUUGCUCCUCUGACGUUAGCGGCGGACGGGUGAGUAACACGUGGAUAACCUACCUAUAAGACUGGGAUAACUUCGGGAAACCGGAGCUAAUACCGGAUAAUAUCUUGAACCGCAUGGUUCAAUAGUGAAAGACGGUUUUGCUGUCACUUAUCGAUGGAUCCGCGCCGCAUUAGCUAGUUGGUAAGGUAACGGCUUACCAAGGCAACGCUGCGUAGCCGACCUGAGAGGGUGAUCGGCCACACUGGAACUGAACCACGGUCCAGACGCCUACGGGAGGCAGCAGUAGGGAAUCUUCCGCAAUGGGCGAAAGCCUGACGGAGCAACGCCGCGUGAGUGAUGAAGGUCUUCGGAUCGUAAAACUCUGUUAUUAGGGAAGAACAAAUGUGUAAGUAACUAUGCACGUCUUGACGGUACCUAAUCAGAAAGCCACGGCUAACUACGUG